rnacentral:rRNA from 1 species
AAUAGAUACCCCCGGUAGUCCACGCCGUAAACGAUGAGUGCUAAGUGUUGGAGGGUUUCCGCCUUUCAGUGCUGCAGCUAACGCAUUAAGCACUCCGCCUGGGGAGUACGGUCGCAAGACUGAAACUCAAAGGAAUUGACGGGGGCCCGCACAAGCGGUGGAGCAUGUGGUUUAAUUCGAAGCAACGCGAAGAACCUUACCAGGUCUUGACAUCUCCUGACCGCCCUGGAGACAGGGUCUUCCCUUCGGGGACAGGAUGACAGGUGGUGCAUGGUUGUCGUCAGCUCGUGUCGUGAGAUGUUGGGUUAAGUCCCGCAACGAGCGCAACCCUUGGUUCUAGUUGCCAGCAUUCAGUUGGGCACUCUAGAGCGACUGCCGGCGACAAGUCGGAGGAAGGUGGGGAUGACGUCAAAUCAUCAUGCCCCUUAUGACCUGGGCUACACACGUGCUACAAUGGAUGGUACAAAGGGCAGCGAAGCGGCGACGCAUAAGCGAAUCCCAGAAAACCCAUUCUCAGUUCGGAUUGCG